rnacentral:piRNA from 1 species
UGGCCUGUACACGUUCAUGUAAACUGGC